CACGCAUGCUCUUCACUGCCGAGCGGGCUGAGGCCGCAGGAGCUGACCAGGAGCUGGGAGCAGUUGACAGCCAUCAGCACGUGUCCCGUGAUUACGAGUACCCCACCCUGCUGCUGAGACGUGCAGAAGUUGAGGAACUCAGUGGCCCUGACAGAGCCCUGCAGGCAGCACCAUGGUGCUCCAGGGCCCAGGCCUGGGUGUGGACCUUCAGCCCCCGGAUUCUGCAGAGAGUCCCCAGCAGCAAGAAGGCCGUCAUCAGAUGUGGUCCCUAGAUCUUGGACUUCUGAACCUCCAGAACUGCUCAUACCUGGAAGGAAUUUGCCUCAAGGAGAAUCGUGCCUUCAGUGCCACUCAUACCUGCUUUAAAUGAUAUUUGAAGCUUUGGGCCUGUGAUUUGAUGCUGGAACAAGGUAAGA